rnacentral:rRNA from 1 species
AUCACUAACAAUACACUGACGCUGAUGGACGAAAGCGUAGGUAGCGAACAGGAUUAGAUACCCUGGUAGUCUACGCCGUAAACGAUGGUUACUAGCUGUUCGGGACAAUUGAGUUCUGAGUGGCUAAGCGAAAGUGAUAAGUAACCCACCUGGGGAGUACGUUCGCAAGAAUGAAACUCAAAGGAAUUGACGGGGGCCCGCACAAGCGGUGGAGCAUGUGGUUUAAUUCGAUGAUACGCGAGGAACCUUACCAGGGCUUAAAUGCAGUUUGACAGGGGUGGAAACACCUUUUUCUUCGGACAAAUUGCAAGGUGCUGCAUGGUUGUCGUCAGCUCGUGCCGUGAGGUGUCAGGUUAAGUCCUAUAACGAGCGCAACCCCUUUGGUUAGUUACCAGCAUGUAAAGAUGGGGACUCUAAGGAGACUGCCUGCGCAAGCAGAGAGGAAGGAGGGGACGACGUCAAGUCAUCAUGGCCCUUACGUCCAGGGCUACACACGUGCUACAAUGGUGCAUACAGAGGGUAGCGAACUGGCAACAGUAAGCCAAUCUCAAAAAGUGCAUCUCAGUUCGGAUUGGGGUCUGCAACUCGACCCUAUGAAGUUGGAAUCGCUAGUAAUCGCGUAUCAGCAAUGACGCGGUGAAUACGUUCCCGGACCUUGUACACACCGCCCGUCAAGCCAUGGGAAUUGGGAGGACCUGAAGACGGUUGCCGCAAGGCGCUGUUUAGGGUUAAACCAGUGACUAGGGCUAAGUCGUAACAAGGUACCCGUA